rnacentral:lncRNA from 1 species
CUUAUGUCCAGGCUCUUAACUCUUUUCCAAGUCCCUUCUGCAGGUCUUCUUCAUUUUCUUUAAUGCUAAAGAGCCAAUCUCGGGGAAAUUCCAACCUGAGAUAGUCUUUCAAUACAGGAAGAGGCUGGAGCUGAUUCAAUAAGUCUGAAGUUGGUGAAUGGGAGGGCUGCUAGACAGAAAGCAAAACAGUCGGAAGGGGCAAUGGUUCAAUAUAUUCUGUAGGAACUGGAAGGAGUCUUCAGAAGGGUCCUCUUGAGUGAUAAUGUCGGCAGUAAGUAGGUCAGGUGAGCCAAAGCACAGAAUGAGGUCAGGCUUGCAAGAGAACUUAAAGCUAUUCUUUUUAAUUAAAAAAAAAAUCUGCAAUGUUUGAAGCAAGAGGAAAAACAAGCAAGUAGCAGGUCCUCUGUGAGGAGAAAAUGGAGAAAUGCUGUUGGGUGACAGAGAAGGUGUAACUGCACAACACCUACUUUGCCCCUGUCUUCACUCAGAAGGAAAGCAGCACCCAACCUGGUGAUAACAUAAUAAUAAAUGAUGCAAGUCCAAGAUAGGAAAAUAAAUGGUUUGGGACCAUGUAGCUACUUUAAAUGAAUUCACAUCUUCAGGGCCUGAUGAGCUGCAUCCAAUGGUUCUAAAAGAGUUUUCAGAUGUAACCUCAGAGCCUUUGUCUAUAAUCUUUGAGAAUUCUGGGAUAACAGGUGAGUUCCCUACAAACUGGAGGCGGGCAAAUGUUGUCCCCAUCUUCAAAAAGGAGAAAAAAGAAGACCCAGGUGCCUAUCAACUGGUCAAGGUGGUGGAUUCUCAUUCCUUGGAGGUUUUUAAACAGCUUGGAUGGUCAUUUCUUUCUUCUUUUUCCUCCUGUGUUGAGGCUGCAUUUUAAUACAUUAAUUUUUCAAUAUUUUAAUGUUGUAUUUUAACCUUGUUUUUAAGUUGUAUUCAUUCAACUUGUUUUUAUUAAUGCUUGUUAGCCACCCUGAGCCCGGCCUUGGCUGGGGAGGGCAGAGUAUAAAUAAUAAUAAUAAUAAUAAUAAUUAUUAUUAUUAUUAUUAUUAUUAUUAUUAUAUCUGUCAUGGAUGUUUCAGUUGAGAUUCCUGCAUUGCAGGGGGCUGGACUAGAUGAUCAUUAGGGUCCCUUCCAACUCUACAAUUCUAAGAUUCUAUGCUUCUAUGUACUAUUCAAAAUGAUGUUAGAGCAUAGCAGAUGUCAUAGUUAAUAACAUAACAUUUCUCCUACCUUCUUAAAUAGCUUGGGCCAGACAAUUGCUUCUGGGUUAAUGGUGAACUUCAGAUUUGAGGACCCUUGUCUCUCUAUUCUUCCAAUUUUCACUCUAGCAAGAGAGUUAUUAGGAAACAGCACCAGAUUCACAAUAUCAAAGUCAAUGGCCAGUGCCCCAUUCUCAUCCAAGUACUGUCCGUCAGCUGAAGUGUUAGAAUAGAACUGGACUUCUUUCAAGAAUGGAUGAAGCUGUAAUGACAGAGGAGUUUCCAGCACCAAGAGAACAUCAAACCAUGUUCAGCCCUUCUUACUCUGCUUUCUAAACUUCUCUGAACAAGAACCACUGUCUCUCUCAUCUGGACUUGUAGUGACCAUUCUAGAUUGUUAGGUCCCCGCAUUCUGCUUCAGAAUUUUGAGGAUGACCAAAGUUAGCAUAAUUACAUAUAUUAGGAAAGGUUGAUUACAGUGUUUAGAAAAUAUGUAAAGAAUGACGAAGAUGGCUUUAUUAAAAGUUUGCAAGCAUAUUGAUUAAUGAUAGUCUAAAAUGGUAGUGCUUGCAUGAGUGUGGUGUAGUGGUUAAGAGCGGUAGACUCGUAAUCUGGGGAACCGGGUUCGUGUCUCCGCUCCUCCACAUGCAGCUGCUGGGUGACCUUGGGCCAGUCACACUUCUUUGAAGUCUCUCAGCCUCACUCACCUCACAGAGUGUUUGUUAUGGGGGAGGAAGGGAAAGGAGAAUGUUAGCUGCUUUGAGACUCCUUCAGGUAGUGAUCAAGCAGCAUAUCAAAUCCAAACUCUUCUUCUUCUUCACUGAAGUAUUUUCCUCUAGUCCUAGCCUGCUUAUUAAAUUCUGUAAAAAGUCAGCUCCAAUAUCCAUAUUAGAUCUAGAUUCUGCAUAUUGUGACAUUUCAAAACUGCCCUGAUUUGGGAACCUUUCUGAAUUGCCACGCUAUGCAGUGUAUGAGGCUGAUAAUAAGUAGAUAAUUUCUGAAUUAGAGUUUCAUUCCAACUAGCUCUACAGCUCUCUCUAUGUUGAGCUGACUUUGAAGUCUGUCUGUAGGUUGCUGUCUGCAAGUCUGCAGGAAUAUAGCACUGAAUCUGUGAACCUGGCUUCCUGUACAAUGAUGGGCCAUUUCUGUUGUGUCCCACCUUCAACUCUAGGAGGAUUCCUGUCCCCUAGGAACCUGGAUCGGAAAAACACUCAUUUCUGCCAGCUGGUGAAAAAAACGUUAUUGUAUUAUUUUAACAUUGUAUUGUAUUUUCUGUUCAUUGCAUUUGCAUGAAAAACACCCUGGGGUCAUGUUGAUGUGAUGAAGGGUGGCUUAUAAAUUUGUAUGAAUAAAUGAAUAAAAUGCAUCACUGCAAUGCUUAACUCUGAAUGCAAAUUGAUGAGUGAAGAAGGGUAGCCCAAUUCUCAGAGCAUCUUUUUUUGCACACCAAAGGUCCCAGCUUCAAUCCCCAAUUGCAUCUCCAGGGUGAGGAGAGCGGGGAAAGAUACCCUUCCAGAAACAGUAGAGAACCACUGCUAGUCAGUCAAUGUAGACAGUGCUAAGCUAGAGAGGCCAAUGGUCUGACUCAGUGCAAGACAGUUUCCCCAUGAUCCUAUCAUGGUGAUUCCAGAGCUGGGACAACAAAUUGCAGGUUGCAAAAGGAAAAGGACAUACCUGCCAUGGCUCUAGCCUUGGAAGGUCCAAGCUGCCUCCUCCACCCACAAUCGACAUCCUCUUUGACCUGGAAGAAUAUGCAGCAUUCAAGGCCUGUGCCACAGUUUGGAUACUAAAGUAAUUCACGUAGCUGUCUUGGGACAGGAUUCUUUCAUUCUCUUCUUGGGGCAACAUCUCCAGAUUCUCCUUCUCCCUGCACUUUGUCAAACUCCUCACAGAUAAGGCAUGUUUUGGAUAUGAACAAUCAAAUGCUUUUCUCGAAUAGCUUAGACUGGCUGAAGACGUUGGCCAGUAGUAGUCCUUUUUCAUCCUUUUUUUGGUCUUCAUUACAAAGGACAAAGAGCCAUGGGCAUAUUGAAAGCAGGCAUUAUCAAGUAACAACAUUUUGUUCUGAAGACCUGUGGUUAUCCAGACUUUCCCCUCAGUUUGUAUCCUUUCCAGUAAGGAUUGUACCUCUAUGAUUAUAAAAAGUCCAUAUUGAGAGUCUGCAGAGUAAACAAAUACAUUGACUUGUCUCCACAUGGCAGGUGGUUCUUGGGGUGCCCACAGCCAAGUUUUAUGUACUACUCUUUUUGCGAAGGCAACACAGAUUUCCUUUUCCAUCAUCAGAGGUGUCAAGGUACUCAGGAAUCUUUCUCCAUUGUCAUUGUCUGGAACAAAGAGGCCGACCCAUGUCCACCUGAAAUGCAGGAGGAGUUGCACCACUCCUUGGUAUUGAAUUUCUUCCUUGGGAGCCAUUUGGUAGACAAAAGGGG